rnacentral:rRNA from 1 species
UCUAUUUACUGUGAACUGUAUUAUUAUUUGACGUUUGAGGGAUGUUCCAAUGUUAUAAGGAUAGACAUUGGAGAUGUUAACCGAGUCAUAAUCAGGUUUAGGCCUGGUAUCCUAUUAUUAUUUACCAAAUGAAUUCAGAAUUAAUAUUGUAACAUAGACCUAAAAAAUCUAUAAAACAACUUUUAACAACGGAUCUCUUGGUUCUCGCAUCGAUGAAGAACGUAGCAAAGUGCGAUAACUAGUGUGAAUUGCAUAUUCAGUGAAUCAUCGAGUCUUUGAACGCAACUUGCGCUCAUUGGUAUUCCAAUGAGCACGCCUGUUUCAGUAUCAAAACAAACCCUCUAUCCAACUUUUGUUGUAUAGGAUUAUUGGGGGCCUCUCGAUCUGUAUAGAUCUUGAAACCCUUGAAAUUUACUAAGGCCUGAACUUGUUUAAUGCCUGAACUUUUUUUUAAUAUAAAGGAAAGCUCUUGUAAUUGACUUUGAUGGGGCCUCCCAAAUAAAUCUUUUUUAAAUUUGAUCUGAAAUCAGGUGGGAUUACCCGCUGAACUUAAGCAUA